AAGCGGGAUUCGUUUAGAGUUUGAUUAUGGCUCAGAACAAACGCUGGCGGCGUGUCUUAAGCAUGCAAGUCGAGCGGCAGGCGCAGCAAUGCGCUGAGAGCGGCGGACUGGUGAGUAACGCGUGGGUAAUCUACCUUUGGCAUGGGGAUAGCCACUAGAAAUAGUGGGUAAUACCGAAUACGUUCCCUGGGGGGAGGUUUCAGGGAAGAAAGGGUGCUACGGCACCGGCCGGAGAUGAGCUCGCGUCCCAUUAGCUUGUUGGUGAGGUAACGGCCCACCAAGGCGAUGAUGGGUAGCCGGCCUGAGAGGGUGUACGGCCACACUGGGACUGAGAUACGGCCCAGACUCCUACGGGAGGCAGCAGCUAAGAAUAUUCCGCAAUGGACGAAAGUCUGACGGAGCGACGCCGCGUGGAUGAUGAAGGCCGAAAGGUUGUAAAGUCCUUUUGCUGGGGAAGAAUAAGUGUGGGAGGGAAUGCCCGCAUGAUGACAUGAACCGGCGAAUAAGCCCCGGCCAACUACGU
rnacentral:rRNA from 1 species